rnacentral:ncRNA from 1 species
GACGCCGAUGCGAGCCCCGGGAAGAGUUUUUUUUCUCUGUAAGAGAUCGAGUCCCUGGAAUGGGUUCGCCCCGAGAUAGGGAUGGUGGCUCCGUAGAGCAGUGCGGUUCUUGCGCUGUCCGGUGCGCUCGCGUCGGCCCUUGAAAAUCCGAGUGAGGGAGUGUGAUUUUCGUGCCGGACCGUACCCACAUCCGCAGCAGGUCUCCAAGGUGAACAGCCUCUAGUCGAUGGACCAAUGUAGGUAAGGGAAGUCGGCAAAACGGAUCCGUAACCUUGGGAUAAGGAUUGGCUCUGAGGACUGAGCCGGUCGGGCUGGGGACCUGAAGCAGGAACGGCACUGCACCGGGACUGGGCGGGGCUCGCCGUUCACGCGGCGCGGCCAAGCCCGGACCAGCGUCGGGACCUUCCUGUGGAAAGCCUCAGCUGCGCGGCGUCUGAGGGCUUCGUGCCCAAAGUGCUAUGCUUCGGCCGGCAAAAAACAGUCAACUCAGAACUGGCACGGACCGGGGGAAUCCGACUGUCUAAUUAAAACAAAGCAUUGCGAUGGCCGCUGGUCGGUGUUGACGCAAUGUGAUUUCUGCCCAGUGCUCUGAAUGUCAACGUGAAGAGAUUCAUCAAAGCGCGGGUAAACGGCGGGAGUAACUAUGACUCUCUUGUGGUAGCCAAAUGCCUCGUCAUCUAAUUAGUGACGCGCAUGAAUGGAUUAACGAGAUUCCCACUGUCCCUAUCUAAAGCCCCCGCGGUUGUUGCCGCGUGGGAAGU